AUUGAACGCUGGCGGCAGGCCUAACACAUGCAAGUCGCACGCGAAAGUUCCUUCGGGGAUGAGUAGAGUGGCGGACGGGUGAGUAACGCGUAGGAAUCUGUCCCGUAGUGGGGGAUAACCCGGGGAAACUCGGGCUAAUACCGCAUACGCCCCACGGGGGAAAGCGGGGGAUCUUCGGACCUCGUGCUAGGGGAGGAGCCUGCGUCGGAUUAGCUAGUUGGUAGGGUAAAGGCCUACCAAGGCGACGAUCCGUAGCNGGUCUGAGAGGAUGAUCAGCCACACCGGAACUGAGACACGGUCCGGACUCCUACGGGAGGCAGCAGUGGGGAAUAUUGCGCAAUGGGCGAAAGCCUGACGCAGCCAUGCCGCGUGUGUGAAGAAGGCC
rnacentral:rRNA from 1 species